rnacentral:rRNA from 1 species
GACGAACGCUGGCGGCGUGCUUAACACAUGCAAGUCGAACGAAGUGGCGAACGGGUGAGUAACGCGUAAUCAACCUGCCCUUCAGAGGGGGACAACAGUUGGAAACGACAGCUAAUACCGCAUACUGUAGGAGGGGAUUGCGUCUGAUUAGCUAGUGGGAGGGGUAACGGCCCACCAAGGAGAGGAACAGGUGCCGGUCUGAGAGGAUGAACGGCCACAUUGGGACUGGGACACGGCCCAAACUCCUACGGUGUGCAGCAAUUGGGAAUCUUCCGCAAUGGACGAAAGUCUGACGGAGCAACGCCGCGUGAGUGAUGACGGCCCUCGGGGUGUAAAGCUCUGUUAAUCGGGACGCGGUACCGAAAUAGAAAGCCACGGCUAACUACGUGCCAGCAGCCGCGGUAAUUC